AGAUGUGACCCAUCACUCCUCAUCAUCUCCAUCAAAGUGCUACUGAAGGUUCCAGUGUUCUAGACUAGAGCUCCUCCUACUGGCAUCUCAACAUUACUGCAGCCUCCAGUCUCUCUUCAUAUGUCCCAAUCAUGUCCUCAUCCACUUGGAUCAAUAACAAAAUAUCAAACUGGUAAUAAGGUGCCUGAGACUGAGGUCCCGAUUCCCAACCCUUUCCCAAGUGUGCAAGUUCACUCUUCCCGUCAUGGAUUUAAAAGUAUGAGACUGGUGUGAACAUUGGAGUUUCCAUAUUUGUUAGCUGAAUCCAUAUCAGUGGAACAGGCGAAGCUGAAAUCUUUGCCCUAUACACAGUCUAUGUCAUUGCCAGGGGUCAGGGAAACGGACGAGGGAUUCACAUAUUCUCAAAAUUUAUUUUCAUCAGUUUUUUUUCUUCUGUGAUUGACACUCAACUAGUGAAUUCAGACAAUCCGAUCAGAGAGCGAAACAUGCAAAUCUACGAUGCUCACAAGGUCUACUUCGGGGAAGAAGUGGGCGGAGUCAGGUCUACUUUGGGGAAGAAGUGGGCGGAGUCAGGGGAGGAUUCAAACAAAAGAUGGCAGCAGAUAAAGAUACAAAUGAAAAUACACAAAAUAAAAUGUCAAAUAACAUUUAAAAAUGUAAAGAAAUGUAGACAGAAUAAACCAACCAUGUAA
ensembl:lncRNA